rnacentral:lncRNA from 1 species
AGACGCUAUAGAUUUAAUUUCUAAUAAAUUUUCGGAGCACAAUUCCGUAAUGUUGAAUGACUUUCCUGUUUUUUUUUUUUUUUUUUUUUCAAUUCAGAUUGCACCAAUGAAUGAUUCCGCCAUGUACAUUAGGCCACCCUUCAGCUGUCGUUUCACUUGGCGCUCAAUUAAUGAGUGCGCAGAAUCUCCCUCAUUUUGCAUGUGGCCUUUGAUCAGAUAUUUAUGGAUUAUGCUUUUUAUGUUGAGAUGAGAUACAGCGUAGAGCUAGAGUGCAACCAUGAACUUAUUUUUCUGCUGGCCCAUGCAAUUAUCAGAAUAAAAAACGAAGUCUUUGUCCCCUGAAUCAGCUCAUUUAUUCAAAAACCAAAGAACGCACGAACCUAAUUCGUUAAUCCCUCUGUGUCCAUGGGAUUCAUUCCAAACAAAACAUUCGCAUUUGUUACUCUUCAGAUCGUAAAUUGUAAAAUUAAAUACAUUUAAUUUAGACUUAUACUAAAACACAGAGACAUCUCCCUUGGGAAUUUGCAUAACGGCUUGUAAGUCGUACACCACCACUGCAGCAUUGAGUUACUCCUUAUCAUACUUCUUUUCUUGACAAUUCUUUCUCCACUAAAUGCCAAUCAUAAAAUUCUUUUUUCUUCUCUUUUUCUUCUCCUUCAGCAUUAUCAUAGGCACUUCAUGUUUCACAUAAGUCUUUUUUUGGCGUAAAGAAUGAGAUGAUAAAAUCCUCCUGUAAAAAUCUGAUAAAACAUUACGUAGUUUACAAACGGAAUGUUUUUUUCUUUACAGUCAGUAAUGUAGUCUGUGUGGAUAUCCGCAAUAGUUUUGCUCCCUUCAAUAAAAUAUUUACUGAUAUUGGCACGCGUAUAAUGCCUUUCGAUUUUUGGGAUUUUUCUCGAUAAAGUUCUUUACACUUUUCUUUAAAACAUCAUCAACUUUUUUAUGUUUGCCAUGUUUCCCUCGCUGAUCUUUCUCCAGUAGAACAGUUGCCACCUUGUUGUGUUUCUCCUGUACCGUCUGAAUUGGGUGAUCAUUUAUAUCUAACAUGUUCUUAAAAAAUAAUUUGCAUACUCAGACUUUCUGUUCUUUAUGAUGGAAAUAGAAGGCAUUAUUAUUGUCUCUUUUCUUCCUGGUACCAUCGACACGUACAUACUGAUAUUUAGGUUGAAUGGGCUCAGUAUUAUUAGCAAUAAAUUGUUGUUGUUUUGCUAAAUCACCCAACUCCCAAUAUGAAGUAAAAAUCUGCAUCCAUUCCUCCUUAGUGAAUUUUGUGGAACAUUUCACCUUACACUUUUCCGUACACGGAGGUCCCAGUUUUCUCUCUUCUCAGACUUUGUCUAUGUUGUGCAUUUUGUAUAUCUUUCCACUCUUUCGAAACUUCUUAUUAGGUUCCUUAACCAGGUAUUCUCAUUUCUUUUAUGCUUCACUCCUUUCUUAAGUGGACUUGUUAAGAUCAUCGAAGACAGAGUGUUGGAAAAACUAGAUGUAUUCGGAGUGGAUCCAAAAGAAGGAUAAAUGGAAGUACCAGUAGUUGAAGGAGUAUCGAUAUCGGCGUUAUUGGCAUUGCAAUUACCAUUGUUUGAUUUAGCUUUGCCAUCCACCUUUGCUGUCACUGCUAACAUUGGGCGGUACAUACGUUUUAUCCAGAUCCGAAUCGUCAUUAUCUUCGGAAAAUGAACUGGAACUUGAUGAAGAACCUGAUCUCGAUGCAACAGAUGAGCUUCUAGAAGUAUUAUCCGUAAUCUCCAAGCUCGUUACUGAUUGGGUAGCAGCAGCUAAUACAUCUCCUUAAAAAUAAUAAUGUUGCAUUAAAUUAUAGAACUCACUGUUACAGAAUAAAAUAUAAUAAAUAAAUAAAUAUAAUUUAUUAAAAAAAACAGGGAAAAUAUAUCUAUCUAUAAGUGGGAAGAAACUAAAUAAAUAACACACCACUUUCUACUGAAGGAUCUUUCCUAGAUGUCAAAUUGGUAUUUUGUUCUGUAGAAGGAUCUGAGGACAUAUGCUUUAUCUGCCAUUCUUCCAUGUUACCAUUGCUUCUUUAUAGCGACCAACAACAUUUUUGCUCCUCGACUAUUUGAUUGCAUGAUUCUCUCACUGGAAAUAAAAUUAUAUUAUGAGGUAAACAAUAAUGUCUGAUUCAUAAUAAUUGCCGCAAGUCCAUUCGAUGGUUAUAAAAUAUUACUUUACAGUAAGUUAUUACAACAAUACUGACAUAAACGAAAAUAAUUCAGAGUAGAAUAUGAGUAUUAAAAACUAUUUAGUGCAAGACUGUCAUAACAGCAUAUACUUCUAAAACUUACGUUUAAGAAACGACUGCUUUUCAUUGUAAUAACAUCUUAAAAUCAAAUAGUACCACAAUAAACACAAUACUUUUUUGCAAGAACGUCAUAUCGGUAAAUAAGUCAAACAUAACACAUUCCAAUUUUUACAUGUACAACGUCAUAUCUUAAAAUAAUACAUUUACACAUAAUAAAGAAAAAGAAAAUGGUCUUAUCUUUGCAUUAAUAUGGUCACAACUCGAGAUAUGUCACUGUUCUACAGAACUUAACACAGCUGAGUAACAUAACAGCCGACUCACAACUGAGAUAAUACAGUAUUGCAAGUAACACACUGGAUGAAUCGAAGUUUCACCAAAACAACACUUAACACUCUACUACUUAAAAGAUCACAUCAUUGCAAUUGUCUCUGUGGGAUUAACUCAAAAAUCACAUUUUCGAGUUAUGACAUUGUUGCAACAAAUGAGUGAUAUUAUAAAUCUGAAAUGCUUGCACAUUCUUUUCACUUAUAAUGCAAGAACAGUUAAAUUGAUUUUUAUGAAAUAACUUAAAUAUUUCCUGAUGCUCUCCAUUUAAGAUUAUGACUGUACUAUAGUGGGG